rnacentral:rRNA from 1 species
AGCAGCCGCGGUAAUUCCAGCUCCAAUAACGUAUAUUAAAGUUGUUGCAGUUAAAAAGCUCGUAGUUGAAUUUCGGGAUCAAAUUGUCGGUCGUGCUUCGGUACGUACUGGCGUUAUUGGUUCCUCCCUUCUGAAGAACCGCGAUGUCAUUAAUUUGGUGUCGCGGGGAAUCAGGACUGUUACUUUGAAAAAAUUAGAGUGUUUAAAGCAGGCUCGCGCUUGAAUACAUUAGCAUGGAAUAAUGAAAUAGGACGUUUGAUUCUAUUUUGUGGUUUCUAGGAUCGACGUAAUGAUUAAUAGGGAUAGUUGGGGGCAGUUAGUAUUCAAUUGUCAGAGGUGAAAUUCUUGGAUUUAUGAAGACUAACUACUGCGAAAGCAUUUGCCAAGGAUGUUUUCAUUAAUCAAGAACGAAAGUUAGGGAUCGGAAGACGAUCAGAUACCGUCGUAGUCUUAACCAUAAACCUAUGCCGACUAGGGAUCGGGAUGAUGUUAAUUUUUAUGUACUCAGUUCGGCGUCCGU